AGUUGGAAAACAGAUGAAAGACCCCCAGAGUGGGGAGACCCUCACUCAAGUCUCGGAAUGACGCAACCCCCCAAGAACUCACACAAGACC
rnacentral:pre_miRNA from 14 species